rnacentral:rRNA from 1 species
CCUACGGGAGGCAGCAGUGAGGAAUAUUGGUCAAUGGGCGCGAGCCUGAACCAGCCAAGUCGCGUGAGGGAUGACGGUCCUACGGAUUGUAAACCUCUUUUGCCGGGGAGCAAGCGUGCGUUCGUGAACGCACGUCGAGAGUACCCGGAGAAAAAGCAUCGGCUAACUCCGUGCCAGCAGCCGCGGUAAUACGGAGGAUGCGAGCGUUAUCCGGAUUUAUUGGGUUUAAAGGGUGCGUAGGCGGGAUGCCAAGUCAGCGGUAAAAAUGCGGUGCUCAACGCCGUCGAGCCGUUGAAACUGGCGUUCUUGAGUGGGCGAGAAGUAUGCGGAAUGCGUGGUGUAGCGGUGAAAUGCAUAGAUAUCACGCAGAACUCCGAUUGCGAAGGCAGCAUACCGGCGCCCGACUGACGCUGAGGCACGAAAGCGUGGGGAUCGAACAGGAUUAGAUACCCGGGUAGUC